rnacentral:misc_RNA from 1 species
GAUGAAGAACGUAGCGAAAUGCGAUAAGUAAUGUGAAUUGCAGAAUUCAGUGAAUCAUCGAAUCUUUGAACGCACAUUGCGCCCCCUGGUAUUCCGGGGGGCAUGCCUGUCCGAGCGUCAUUACAACCCUCAAGCUCAGCUUGGUGUUGGGCCCCGCCGCCCCGGCGGGCCCUAAAGUCAGUGGCGGUGCCGUCCGGCUCCGAGCGUAGUAAUUCUUCUCGCUCUGGAGGUCCGGUCGUGUGCUCGCCAGCAACCCCCAAUUUUUUUCAGGUUGACCUCGGAUCAGGUAGGGAUACCCGCUGAACUUAAGCAUAUCAAAAGCGGAGGA